UACGUAGGGUGCGAGCGUUAAUCGGAGUUACUGGGCGUAAAGCGUGCGCAGGCGGUUUUGCAAGCCGGAUGUGAAAUCCCCGGGCUCAACCUGGGAAUGGCAUUUGGGACUGCAAGGCUCGAGUGCGGCAGAGGAGACUGGAAUUCCUGGUGUAGCAGUGAAAUGCGUAGAUAUCAGGAGGAAUACCGAUGGCGAAGGCAGGUCUCUGGGCUGACACUGACGCUCAUGCACGAAAGCGUGGGGAGCAAACAGG
rnacentral:rRNA from 1 species